AUAUAUAUAUAUAGUUCGGCUACUAUACUAUUGAUAGUAUCAAGUUCUUGGUACUAUUAAAUUUUCUACCGUUAGAUCAACCCUUUGAUCAUUUUCACCGUUAAAUUAUACUAUUAAACCAACCACCCACUCAACCCUAGGGGACCACUAUCAAUUUAACCGGGGACCACUAUCAUCCUAACCGCACAUCCUUUCAUCCAACGGACAAAAACUCAAUAGUACCAAGGGCUUGGUACUAUUGAUAGUAUAGUAGCAUAUAUAUAUAUAUAUAGAAUUAGGUUGGAAUACUAUUAAUAGUAAAACGCUCUUUUUGCUAUCAAGUUUUUAACCAUUGGAUGAAAAAUUAUAGGGUCAGAAUGAUAUUAGUCGGUUAGAGUUGAGUGGUCCUCCUAGGGUUGAGUGGUGCCCACUAGGUUAUAGUAUUUAAUCCAAUGGUUAGAAAUAAUAAAAAGAGUUGAUCUAAAGUCUAAAAAACUGAUAGCAACAAUAGAAUUUUGCUACUAAUAGUAGCCCAGUCCAACUCUCUCUCUCUCUCUUUCUAUAUAUAUUUAUAGUAGGUCUUGUGUGCUCUCGGGAGCACGGAACCCUUCGUGCUCCUGAGCCGUUUUCGAUUAUGGGACUUCCGAAUCGACGAUCAGCUCCGCUAGACUUGAUCUAGCGUAUUUAAAGUUGCUAGAAAAUAAUUUUUGCGAUUUUUCGAUAUCAUUUACCUAGCAGUCGAAAGGAUUCAAAAUCAAUAAUUUUUAACCAUGUGCCAACUCGAUAUUAAAUUAAUUUUUUGUGGGGG
rnacentral:lncRNA from 1 species